UAGCCUAGUGGUUAAGGCUCUGGAUCGCCAAUCCGGAGACGGCGGGUUCGAUUCCUGC
rnacentral:tRNA from 1 species